AGAACGAACGCUGGCGGCAUGCCUAAUACAUGCAAGUCGAACGAACACUUCGGUGUUAGUGGCGCACGGGUGCGUAACGCGUGGGAAUCUGCCCUUGGGUUCGGAAUAACAGUUGGAAACGACUGCUAAUACCGGAUGAUAUCGAAAGAUCAAAGAUUUAUCGCCCAGGGAUGAGCCCGCGUAGGAUUAGCUAGUUGGUGAGGUAAAGGCUCACCAAGGCGACGAUCCUUAGCUGGUCUGAGAGGAUGAUCAGCCACACUGGGACUGAGACACGGCCCAGACUCCGUACGGGAG
rnacentral:rRNA from 1 species